GGAGAACUCUGAUGCAGCGAUGCCGCGUGAGUGAAGAAGGCCUUUGGGUUGUAAAGCUCUUUUGUAGGGGAAGAUAAUGACUGUACCCUAAGAAUAAGGUCCGGCUAACUUCGUGCCAGCAGCCGCGGUAAUACGAAGGGACCUAGCGUAGUUCGGAAUUACUGGGCGUAAAGCGCGCGUAGGCCGUUGAGUUAGUUAAUUGUGAAAUCCCAAAGCUUAACUUUGGAACUGCAAUUAAAACUGCUCGACUAGAGUUUGAUAGAGGAAAGCGGAAUACAUAGUGUAGAGGUGAAAUUCGUAGAUAUUAUGUAGAACACCAGUUGCGAAGGCGGCUUUCUGGAUCAACACUGACGCUGAGGCGCGAAAGUAUGGGUAGCAAAGAGGAUUAGAUACCCUCGUAGUCCAUACCAUAAACGAUGAUUGCUAGAUGUUGGAAAUUUAUUUUCAGUAUCGCAGCUAACGCAUUAAGCAAUCCGCCUGGGGAGUACGACCGCAAGGUUAAAACUCAAAUGAAUUGACGGGGACCCGCACAAGCGGUGGAGCAUGUGGUUUAAUUCGAAGAUACGCGCAGAACCUUACCAACCCUUGACAUGUCUAUCGCGAGUUUAGGAAACUAGACUCUUCGGUUCGGCCGGAUAGAACACAGGUGCUGCAUGGCUGUCGUCAGCUCGUGUCGUGAGAUGUUGGGUUAAGUCCCGCAACGAGCGCAACCCCUACUUUUAGUUGCCAUCAGGUCAUGCUGGGCACUCUGAAAGAACUGCCAGUGAUAAGCUGGAGGAAGGUGGGGAUGACGUCAAGUCCUCAUGGCCCUUACGGGUUGGGCUACACACGUGCUACAAUGGUAGUGACAAUGAGAUGCAAGGUGGCGACGCUAAGCUAAACUCAAAAAUCUACCUCAGUUCGGAU
rnacentral:rRNA from 1 species